UAAGCCACUUUGGGAGUCUUUUGGAUGAGU
rnacentral:piRNA from 1 species